rnacentral:rRNA from 1 species
GACGAACGCUGGCGGCGUGCCUAACACAUGCAAGUCGAGCGGAGUCAGUAAGAGGAAGUUUUCGGAUGGAAUCUUGCUGGUUUAGCGGCGGACGGGUGAGUAACGCGUGAGCGACCAACCUUUCACAGGGGGAUAACGGACCGAAAGGUUCACUAAUACCGCAUGAGACCACGGUGUUGCAUGACACAGGGGUCAAAGGAGCAAUCCGGUGCAAGACGGGCGCGCGUCCGAUUAGGGAGUUGGAGGGGUAACGGCCCACCAAGCCUAUGAUCGGUAGCCGACCUGAGAGGGUGAUCGGCCACAUUGGAACUGAGAUACGGUCCAAACUCCUACGGGAGGCAGCAGUGGGGAAUAUUGGGCAAUGGGGGAAACCCUGACCCAGCAACGCCGCGUGAAGGAAGAAGGUUUUCGGAUUGUAAACUUCUGUCCUUGGUGAAGAGAAGAAGACGGUAGCCAAGGAGGAAGCCCCGGCUAACUACGUGCCAGCCGCCGCCGUAA